rnacentral:rRNA from 1 species
GAUACUGGCGGACGGGUGAGUAACACGUGGGUAACCUGCCUGUAAGACUGGGAUAACUCCGGGAACCGGGGCUAAUACCGGAUGCUUGAUUGAACCGCAUGGUUCAAACAUAAAAGGUGGCUUCGGCUACCACUUACAGAUGGACCCGCGGCGCAUUAGCUAGUUGGUGAGGUAAUGGCUCACCAAGGCAACGAUGCGUAGCCGACCUGAGAGGGUGAUCGGCCAACACUGGGACUGAGACACGGCCCAGACUCCUACGGGAGGCAGCAGUAGGGAAUCCUUCCGCAAUGGACGAAAGUCUGACGGAGCAACGCCGCGUGAGUGAUGAAGGUUUUCGGAUCGAAAGCUCUGUUGUAGGGAAGAACAAGUACCGUUCGAAUAGGGCGUACCUUGAGGUACCUAACCAGAAAGCCACG